rnacentral:lncRNA from 1 species
ACACUCCCAGCCCUUCAUAUGAAAGAGAACAAAAUUGUUUAAACAAAAAGCACUUGUUUAGAUAUGUCAUUUUAGCAUUUGUUGCUGCAUAGGCUUGGGUCAAAGUGCUCAUUGGAUAACAGCUUAAUAUGACGAGGUCUUGUAACUUUAUAUACUCCUUAUGUUUAAAGAGGCACUUUGCUGAAAGGUACCUUUAAGAGGAAUCUUCUUAUCUAUUUCUUUUGGUUGGUUUCUCGUUUCCAAAGCCCUAGACAACAUUUCUCACUGUGGAUGAACUAGAUGUGGAAUAGCUAACUAGACGUAAGGGAUAUGUUUAAGAUCACUGCUAUAUCUAGAAAUGAGUAUGACCAAAAAAACCCAGUGUUUUUUCAAACUCGUGGUUCUUUAAGCUUGAGGAUUUCUCCAAACAACUUCAUAUCUGCAUGUGCUGGUUGGCUAUUUUCUCCGGUGCCCAGCCCUGAGGCUGCGUGUAUCUGUACUGGCUUAUUAAGUUUCUUGUGUUUUGGACACAUGAUCCUAUUCUAUCUAUGAGUUUGGCUUUAACAAUCAAGAUGUUAAGGUUGCAUAUUAAUCAUAAGGUGAAUUAAUUGACAUUGUUCCCAGUGGUGAAACCAAGACAAUGAACAUAAAUUGCAAUGCCAAAAAGAAAGAAAUACAAGGAAACAACAAAGAGGUAUAAAUUUACCCUAAAAAGGAACCGAUGUUAUCACUACCAUUGUCUCCAAAUAGUAGAAGAUGUUGACUCUUUACUGGAUGAUGAUGUCUCCAAAUAGUAGAAGAUUAAUUAAAGAUGCAAAAUUAGAAAAUGAGGGAUAUUGUAUGAUACUGGAGAAAAACUAAAGUAUAAGACUCCAAAAUCAGAAUUUGUCUUCUGAAUGAAACCAGAUCUAUAGAUGUUUAAAAGUUGUCUAGAAUGAAGAAUUUUCUAAUGAUAAGUUAAUGUUGACAAUAAUUUUUAUCUGGUGCAUGAUUCCUUGUGAUUUUAGUCUACUUGAUGAAUACCUACUUGGUAACUGUUUCUGAUAAAAAGUUGUGGAUAAAGCUCCUCAAAGUUGUACUUUUGUGCAAACCUGUCAGCCAUUGGUUAUAGUUGUCAGAAUAGCAUCUUUCAUAGACUAUCCUUUCCUCCUUUGGUAAUGGAUUUUCUUUCUUCUUUAUUUUGAAUCAUCUGCACAUAUUUAAUUUAUUUGGGGCAUUUAAGAGAAAUUUCUUGGAUAUGUGGUAUACAACAUAGAAAUUGAUUUAGCUAGUUCAGGGUUUACAAAGUCAAAGGUGGGACCAUGGAAAAUUUUUUAUCCUCAACUUGGUUUAGGUGUUGCCCUUGCCAGAAUUGGACAUGCAAAGACGAAUCUAACUAUUUCUACAUAAAGCAAUUAUUUAAAUUUUGGAAUUUCCCUUGUAGAAAGAAAAUCUGGAUCUAUAGUCUGUUUGCAAUUGCAGUUAUCAAGAGAAUUCUAGUUUCUAACUGUAAAAUAAGUCUGUUUGUCUGAAAGAAAAAUGUGGACUUUUUUUUCAUUUUUUCUCUGUGACAUUGUUCAUGGGUAGUUUUUCAAAUGAUCUGUUGACUGAGGUUACAAUUACUUUGGGGCUAAUAUGUUAACACGAGCCUAGGUCUCAGGUUUUCUAAGCAUGUGACGAGCAGUUUACAAAAGCAAAAUUGGAUUCUUGUUCACUUCUUUUAGGAGCUGUAAUACUUCUGGCGGAUGUGCAGAUCAGUGGGCUAAUCUGAAGCAGGGCUUUCAGAAUUGUGAUAUCAGAAAUCUAACUGCAUAUUGGUGAUUUUCUGCUACAAGUGAAGUCAACAUUCCUGAAGGAUAGUUGUGGUUCAGGGUAUACUUGGCAUGAAAAGUAAAUAUAGUAAAUUUAAGUUAAAGAAACAAUAUUAUACAGAGAGCGAAAAAGGGAACUUGCUUAUGAUGAAACAACUCUCAUGGGGCCUUAACCUGCCUUUCUUAAGCUAGUUUUUCUUAUUUUCGCUGGACUCCAUCUUUUUCGUUCUAUAGUCUUUGGGAAUUUGUCCUUGUUGUUGUGAAGCAUGCAGGGUCUUGUUUGAUUGUCAUUUAGUAUUAUGGUUUGUCGCAUAAUAUGCAUUUUCGGUUACUCUCGCAAAAUCAGCUCUGCAUAUUUUUUUGCCCCUUUUGGGGCAUUUCAUCAUUCCAUAAAUAUAGGAUGAGUCCACGACUAUGCAUUUGUCUUAUGACAUAGAUGCAGUUACUUAAAAGUGUUGACAAAUAGUCUGCGUCCAAAUCUGUUAGAUCAAGCUCCAGUAAAAGAAAGUAUAGUUGACCUUAAGAAUCUGAUUGGUUAUUGGUUUGUUCUGAUACCAACUCUUCCGCAUUCAAUUUCAAGACCACAGACUUUAUCUGUGGAAAUUUUCCUUAUCCUAAUUCAGUAUAUCUAGGGGAAAAUACAAAUAUCAGUGAUACCAAAUUUUCAGGGAUUCAUUACGUACUAUUAAAUGGUAGUUAUGGUCUCAGCUGGAGUAACAGUUGAAAAUUUUCCUUAUACUGCACUGACUAUACUGGUCCUGUAAUACCUAUAAUGUCUUACUGAAAAUUUCAAAACUUGUACUAUAAUUAUAACAUUACGAUGUUGGUGCAUUUAAGAUGAAUGGAGACUCCCGCGAGAGUGCCCUAAGUUCCAAAUCAGGGAACACAUAUACUGCUGUGCUUUUCUAUGCCUCCUGGUGUCCAUUUUCACAGGAUGCCCUUUCAGCCUUUGAAGUCUUGGAUUCCUUGUAUCCUGAAAUUGAUCAUUUAGCCGUUGAACAAUCUUCAACUGUGCCAAGGUAAAUUUGAAGUUACUUUGCCUUCAUGAUAUACUCCUAGGUAUUACACUUAAGUUACAGAAGAUCAGCUUGAUUUUCCAAUAGCUGCAACGGAGUAUGAUUUUGACAAGUAAAAACUAGCCUAAGCAAUGACUGCCAUUCCAAUUAACAUUUUGCUACUUGUAUAUUGCUUUUAAAAGCAAAAAUGAGAAAAAAAAAAGGGAAAAUUAUAGUUGAACUGUACUGUACCUGCCUAAAUAUAGACUAUUACUGUGAGAGCUUAAAUUUUGCAUGAAGUUAGAUGGUGUAAUCUUGUGGCGAUAUCUGUUUAUUUUCCAAGCUUAUGUUUUAGUAUUUUCUUUUUAAAAUAACCUGUCAUUUUAAGUUUUUCCUGUUUGCUCACUUGCUGUUGUGGAUUUCUUUACAGCUUGUUUUCAAGAUAUGGCAUACAUAGCUUACCAGCUAUAAUAAUUGUGAGCCAAAAGUCCAGGACCCGUUUUCGUGGUUCUAAAGAUCUAGACUCCCUUAUCAAAUUUUACAAGAAAACCACUGGUAUGCCUUUUCCGUACAAAGUCGGUCUGUCACUGAUCUGUCCAUUUUCCUUUUAUGAAUCAUUUGGUGGUGAAAAGUGCAUAGAUAGCUUAUUUUGCCUGUUCCAGUUCCUUAUAACGCUAUUAAUUGACAAUAAGGCCUGCUGUUAUGAGCAAUUAGUCCUUUCCUCAUGCAUCUGAGGAUGGAAUUUGGAUUACUGUGUCUGUUGCAAUUGUUUUUGCUCAUCACCUGGUUUUGUAAAAAUGCUAGGACAUGAACCAGUUCAAUACAUUGCUGUGGAUCAGUCUGGCAAUUCAGGAAUUGGUGGAAAGUCCAUGGUGGUAUCGCGAUGUGGGUCAUCUGCAAAGGAAACGUUGACAAGAGAGCCCUACUUAUUUUUCUCUGUGUUAUUCCUUUCUUUACGAGUGAUGGUGUACGUGUGCCCAAAAUUCCUUUUUCAUUCAAGAAAUCUCUGGGUAUCUUUCCGCCCCCAUUUGAAUUUGGAAAUUUUUGGAGGGACAAGCGAAAUCUUAGGGCAGAUCUUUCAGAUGACUGAUUUCAAGAGAGUUUGGACCAAGAUUAGAUUGUGUAAUCACAGGAAUUUCCACCUGGGUGCAAGCAAUGCAAGAGUGUUUGCUUCGUCUUUCGCUUCCGUCUCCUUGGGUGAAACUUCGCUAUCUAAAUUGUGAUCUUGAGGUAAAUUUGAUCCCACUUUUACUGUGAAAAUAUUCAUAAACUCUAUAGAGUGACACCAAAAGGUUUUAUAGGUAAGAGUUACUUUGUCUUUUGUUUUCAUCUAACCUCCAUCCCAAAGUUGUGAGCAAGGUGGGAGUGGAUGGAUGGCCUUGUACAUCAGAAAUAGCUCCAUGUAAAUUAUGUUGAAAGAAACAUUUUAAUAUGGUAGAGUCGUGAAACAUGACAAUGGUAAAGAAACACUUUUGUAUCCAUUUUUCAGACUUUGGAAGUUGAGUUCCAUUCCCAUUGUUGAUGGCACAUUAGUCUGCAAUUCUCUAUAUGCUAAUACGACAGGAUAGCACUAUAAAUCCAUGAGACUACUGUUGAUCCUCAUUUGUUGGCUACGGAGGAAACUUUUACUGGACAAUGUGCUUGAGCUUUAAUGAGCCAUUUCCUAAGCAUUUCCCUUUCAGUCUUGCUUUAACAUAGGCAGCAUUUGGAGCCUGUGGUGGUCCUUUUCCUUUGCAUCGUUUAGUAGGCGUUUGGUCGUGGCUCCACGCUUCACCAUUGACAACCUUUCACCUUCUCUUACAUGGUCACACCAGGUACGUAGGAAUUUUACCUGAAGAAGCCCUCACGGACGGCCCGUUAAUAGCAUGCUGCUGCAGGAAAAUGACAACGUUGAAUCUUCCGUGUUCUGUGACAGCCUGCAAUGUUCUCAGAAACAUCUCCUUCUCCUGUGCUUUUCUUUGAAAAAGAAAGAGACAAAUCUGGAGAUGCAAGUCGCGUACUAACACAACAAAACCAAGAAGCAAACAGGAAACACUAGCGAAAAUUAGCAGAACAAGAAAAAGCACAUACUCAAGCUCCUGAUCAAGGUAGCAAACUGAGUAGACAUAAUAAUUUAUUGGCCCAUAUGGUAACCAUUGCACUUCAAAUUUUGAGAAAAAUUUGUAACCCCUUGUGUUAAAAUUUUGACAAAAAUGCAACUCCUUGUGGGGCUGUGCGUUAGUUGAACAUUAUAUGGCUUGGAAAAUCAAUGCAGGAUACUGCACAUCGAGACAGAUAGAUAGAUAGCUAAAAUCCAAUAAAGAUACUUCCUCACGGACAGUUGUACAUGUAUGAGGGGGGAGUUUCACUUUCACUUUCAUGAUUCAUCAUCCCUUUCCCUUUCUUUGUCUAUUUUUUUUUCCCUAUAGGUGACCCCCAGAGUCAGCAUCAUCCCAAGCAAACUCCCUCAAGCAAUCGCCACUUUUUUCUCAUUUUUUUUAUUGCAGAAAAAUGGGAGCGAAAUUAAAAGGGAAUCUCUUGUGGAAGAACAAGUCUCCAUCUUGAAGCUUCUACUUUUAUGGAUGAGAUGAAGAGAAAAUUAUUAGAAUAUGAAAUCAGCAGACAGAGUGUUAAUGACACUAACAAACUAUUGGCGAAUGGUACUAAAGCCUAUAGGAACAAAGAAAUCAGGAAAUUGAAAAAAAAAAAAUAUCCAGUAGCCUAAUCAAAGGGAAGGGGGUUUUUCUCUAAGGUAGGACCCGUCGGGACCAUGAUCCCUUUGUCACCUUUUAGAAGGAUAAGCUCCUAAUUACAUCAUAUUUACUCUCAAUGCUGGUUUCCAGUCUUCACUCCAAGAGCAAGAAGACAUCAUAAUAGAGGUAGAGAGGAGGCUGUGGUGGUGGCCUGGUCUGAAUAGUAUUCCUUCGCUACACUCCAUGAAAGCCACCUUCGUUGAAGAACCUAAUAAUUCAUCCCCACCAUCCAACCCAAAUUUUUCAUCAUUCCCUACUUUUCUUUUCUCCCUAGCUAGUGCGAUCUUUUGCUAGAACUAAGAAAACUAAAAAUGGAGGGUCUUGAAGAGUGGGAAGUCCUCCCUGAUGAUGGAUUUCUUAAAAUCCAUGAUGAUGAUGGGAAGAAGAUUUUCUCAAGAAAAUAUGCAACCACUGCCUCUGAGAAUGUUUUCAAGAAUUACUUCAUAUGCCCAUCUCCAAAAUCAUCAAAAUUUGUCGAAACUACUGCAGAGACGGCGGCCAGAGUGCCUAAUCAGCUCGUGCCAAUCCCAAUUCAGCUGGAGCCAGCACUUAAGAAUCAGAUCCCCGAAGUUGACGAUCAAGGGCUGAAACAAGUGAUUAAGGCCCCAUUUGACACAUCCAUCAGAAGUCCCAAGAUAAUAACAGGGGAAGCUGAUCAGGAUCUAGUCUCGCAGGUUUUCUUCAAGAAAAUGAAGGAAACUGAAUUAUUUGCCGACAUGAAACUGGACUCGCCCAAGUCCAACAACAACAGCAGCAGCAGCCACACCGCUAGGGGGAUCAAGCCUCAAAUUGACGCGGGUGCCUUUCAGUUUGAGGAGAAAGCAGACACUUAUAAAGCUGCUGGUGAGGCUCUGGAAACAACCAAGAUUUCCUCUCCAAGACAGAAAAUUGAUCCAGAAGGAAAGAUGAUCA